rnacentral:rRNA from 1 species
GACGAACGCUGGCGGCGUGCUUAACACAUGCAAGUCGAACGGAAAGGCCCUGCUUUUGUGGGGUUCUCGAGUGGCGAACGGGUGAGUAACACGUGAGUAACCUGCCCUUGACUUUGGGAUAACUUCAGGAAACUGGGGCUAAUACCGGAUAGGAGCUCCUGCUGCAUGGUGGGGGUUGGAAAGUUUCGGCGGUGGGGGAUGGACUCGCGGCUUAUGAGCUUGUGGGUGGGGUAGUGGCUUACCAAGGCUUUGACGGGUAGCCGGCCUGGGAGGGUGAACGGCCACAUUGGGACUGAGAUACGGCCCAGAGUCCUACGGGAGGCAGCAGUGGGGAAUAUUGCACAAUGGGCGGAAGCCUGAUGCAGCAACGCCGCGUGCGGGAUGACGGCCUUCGGGUUGUAAACCGCUUUCGCCUGUGACGAAGCGUGAGUGACGGUAAUGGGUAAAGAAGCACCGGCUAACUACGUG